rnacentral:rRNA from 1 species
GACGAACCGAGCGAACGUUGUUCGGAAUCACUGGGCUUAAAGGGCGCGUAGGCGGGUGCUCAAGUCCGGGGUGAAAUCCUCCAGCUCAACUGGAGAACUGCCUCGGAUACUGGGUGCCUCGAGGGUGGUAGGGGUAUGCGGAACUAUCGGUGGAGCGGUGAAAUGCGUUGAUAUCGAUAGGAACUCCGGUGGCGAAGGCGGCAUACUGGAUCUCUUCUGACGCUGAGGCACGAAAGCUAGGGUAGCGAACGGG